rnacentral:misc_RNA from 1 species
AACGCACGAGACCUGCGGACCUGCGGAAGGAUCAUUAAUGAGAAGCUGCCCCUCGUGGGUAGACCUCCCACCCUCUGUGAACUUACCUUUGUUGCUUUGGCAGGCCCGUCCUCUGGACCGCCGGCUUCGGCUGGCCCGUGCCCGCCAGAGGAUUCCAAACCCUGUCUGUCAGUGUUGUCUGAGUCUAUAUGAAAUCGUUAAAACUUUCAACAAUGGAUCUCUAGAUCGGAAGAGCACACG